CAUGCCGCUCGUGCUGCGAGCCCCGGCAGCCCGUGCCGCUCAAGCUGCUCCGCGGCGCUGUGGCAGAGGCUCCACCCUUGAUGGCGCUCGCCUCCACCACUACCGCCGCCGUCACGGCCUCCUCCUCCUCCCCGCCUUGUCCGGCUUCCUCCCUCACACCUCCCAUUCACCGCGCCCAGGAGCUGGAGAACUACCCGCGCGCCUGCAACUACCACCGGUUCGUGGUGCGCUCGGCUCUGCCUCUGCCACUACCGUCGCGGGAUACGGGGAAGCCUGGUCAAAGCAGACUCCCUAGAUGAAACGUGUGCCAUGUUCAGGGUGCAGUAUAGGCAAUCAAUCCUUCUUGGUCGUCUGAUAAAUCAUGUCUAAUCAGUUCAUCAAAAAGUGAUGUGUCUGGGAAGGCAGGCCCUCGAUGAUGUGGUGCUCAACAACAGGCCUCCUGUGAGUCAUGCACAGAUCAUAGGUUUGUACAUUGGACUUUUGGAGGAGUGGGCAGAAAGGUUUCUUAAAUGUCAUGUCCUGUAUAUUCUUUUAUAUUUAGUACUUUUUUCUUUCUAUACUGCAUAUAUAGAAUUCCAUUUAAAAUGUUGGGCCUAUCAUCAUAAUAAUCCAAUUAUAGGUUUGAUCAAUGGUUCAUAUUUUGCUGAAAGGAAUGUAACUGAUAACAGCAAGUUCUCUAUUUAUUCAUGGCAGCAAGUUCGAUUUGCAUUUUGUUUGUUAGAAUUAUGAUGUUAGGAGGGAAUUAAUAAGAUGUAGCCUUUUGGUUCACAAUUAGUUUCUAAUUAUAUAGCUGGAUUUCUCAAUUUUACAUUUUCUUAUCUAUAGAAUUGUGAAUUUCAUCUUUUCUUUUAAGUGAGCUUCUUAGAAAAUAUUUUCUUUACAACUGGGCUUCCAUUCGUGUGCUGAUUUUAGUUUACUUUUAUUUUAUCUUUUUAUAUUUGAGGAAAUGCGGUAAUAACAUUUGUAUAUUUGUACUCAUAAGCUUACUGCAUUUUGGACUUUUGGUUUCGCCAAUGGGGCUGGACACCUGGAGAGCGGGUGGAGUGCGUGGUCAUGGAGCACUCAGACAUUCGCAUGAACCAAUGCACGACUUUGAUGGUGGUGGCUUUAUUUAUUAAUAACGGAUAAUGUUGUAAAAAUUUCAGAUGUUGCGGAGUAAUAGCUAGCUCGACCAAUGCUUAUGUACUUUGGACGUGGUCAAUGUAACGUGGUCAAUGUAACAUUGCAUGCACUUUGUAAAAAAGUUAUUAUACAUUCUAAUGGAAAAACAAUAUUUGCUCAACUAUAAAGAAUAUUUAUCAA